UUUUUGUUUUUGUUUUAUGGUCCGAUGAAAGAGCUUCAAGAAUUUCGGUGUAUCUCCCUCACCUUUGUGUGUGGUUACGAUUUUUUCCUCUUCAUCCCAUGGAAGUGCUGCGGUGCAGCAUCCUCUCCUUUUCUUCUAUGAUCAGCGUGGAGCUAGGAAUCGCGGUUUAGGCUAAGGGCAUUGCGGUAAGACGUUUAGAGCGGUGACCAAGGAUUUUGGAGAGGUUUUGCAAGGAAGUUGAUCAACGGUCCUAGGAAUGACGGCAUUACUUGUGGAAGUGGUGGAUCCUUUCAAGCAGCUAGAGUUAUCAUCGACAAGAUUUUUUUCUUUUAUGCACGUGCGACGGUGUUACUCAGUGCCUAAUUUUUGUUUUGUUUUGUUUUUUUUUUUUGUUUUUUUUGUUUUUUUUUUUUUCUUCCGCUGCAAGAAGCCGACCGCAUUAUUUAGUUGUGUUUUUAAUUGUCAUUGCGAAUGUUGUUGCCGGUUCUGAUGUUCUAUUGAGCUGCUAGGCUAUGCGAGGGUUAUUCAGUAGCGAAGGAGUAGCGUGAUCACGUCCACCGUCACUUUUGAUCUUCCCCGCUGAUUGUGCUCUAUAUUGCGAUGGCGCUGGUGGUGCUGGGAUCGAGUGUAUCCAAUCCUGGGUAUUGUGAAUUAUUGCUGGACCAAUAUUUUGGAACUAGAGUGAUCUCUAGAGAAGGUCACAUAGUGCUGACAUAUCACUGAUGGCAUAAAAUCACGUGCAAUGUAUAUGAGGAAGAGGCAAUCAACAAGUUUUAGUCAGCCAUAGUGAGAGGUGUCGGUUGAUUGCAGGAACUGAAUUUUUUUGUUAACAUCUCCAUUAAUGCGCUUUGAAGAUGGAAGUUGGUUUUAGAAGCUAGAUGCAAAGGAUUUAGAGGGUUUGCAAUGGUGCGGAAGGAACCUUUGACUUCUUCAGCUGUGGUGGCUAGAUCUCCUUUGUAUUACAUAAGACUAGGGAAGGAUUGAUGCAGUGAAUACCUAGAUUAAGCUUCUCCAUCUGAAACUAGCAGAGUGAAAAUUAUUACCUUAUAGGGCUCAGGGGUUGUGAUUGGUCAUGAUGAAACAAUUCAACUUUUUAGCAGAUCGAGGAGGAAAACAGAGGAGGCUGUGAGGACUAUUCCCUGGGUGGCCUCGGUGUUACUAACCAAUCGAAAUGCAGCGAUGCAGAACAUCUUUGACGUGUGGUUUCAUGCUUGGAGUAAAUCUAAAUAGUUAAUGUUAGCCUUAGCAAAGUAGUGUUGGACGUUGAGUUGUGUUCUUGCCACUAGCGGAUGAGAAAUCUUAAAGGCUCGACCCAGCGCUCUGAAUUUAUAGUCUUGAUUGGAGAAGGCAUGAGAUUCGACGAUGCAGAAAGUGCACUGCAGUACACAGAGUGACCUCAAUCUGCUAGGUUGGUAUUCACUUCAGGAGCUUCAGCAUUAGAACACAAUCAGAUUGUCUUGGUAUCAGCGCCUAACGUAGCGAUAAGCUCCCCGUGCAUACGAUAUCAACAAAUCGAUAGUUCUAGGACUUAUAAGAGUUGACACCGUGGAGCAACCAGCCAUGAAAGGACUUGCUGGUUUACCAUUUUAAGGAUUCUCCUAGAGUCAGGGUGUGGUGGUUUUAGUGGACUCGUUUCAGUUGGGGUGCGAUGCCUUCGUGCUAUUGGAGGUGGAAGGUUGACUCAUCCUUGUCUGGACAUGGAUCUGAGGCGUGGGGCGAAUUCUUGUUUUGCACAUGGAGAGUUGCUACUGCUGAAGAUUGGAGGUGCUGAAGAUUGGAGUCUACUAUUGCAGUGUGGAGUUGCUCGCAGGCUGCACUCUUCAUCCCUCCAGAGCAAUUCCACGAACAAGUUUGUCUACGAAACUCAAAGCCGUAGACAAAUCCGAAGCCGCUAAGAUUGGUGCUCCUUAAGAGGCCUUCCACAUCAGUUGCAUUUGCUUGCUGCACCAAAAGAACCUCUCAUGCAUUGGUGCUCGCAACUCACGAUCCGAUCCACAAGUGCACGAGGUUAACAUUGAUUGCAGAAGAGUAGAAGAAAAUUAAGAGGUUGAUCCUUUUCGGAAAGAUGUGCAUCAUUCUAAAAGCUUAGUCAACGUCAAAAAGGUACUGCGAGAACAAUGACCGGGCCGUGCAGAUGUUGGAGGAGGAAACAGGUGGCGCUCAGCAAUACCUAUCAGCUCGCUCGCUUUGCAAAGAUAGCAUCAACCUGAGAUCUUGGUUAUAACGAUUUUGGUUGCAAUUAUGACAAGGUUUCGAUUGAGCGUUUCCCGAUUGGCUAGCAUCGUCGAAUCUCACGAAUAAGAUGCAAAUGUAGACAAAGGUAAAACAGACACAGCUCAAAUCUACAACAAUGGAAGCCAGGAAGCUGUAUGCCAAGCCUGGCAACAGCGUUGCAAACAGAUGGGACGUCUAAGUCUAAUUUGCAACUGAUAAAACCUUCGGAUAACAUCAUCUUCGGUAUUGCAUUUCAAGGAAGAAGGAGCUCACCACAGCCUUGGACGGUGCUCCAGUGAGUAGAUUAUUAGAAUACAGAAGGGCAGAACCCCCUGCCAUUCCAAAACAAAUGAAGUGCUACAAAAAGCAUGGCUAAACCGCACCUCUAGCGUUUCAAAGCUUUGCCAGAAAGAUGCAAGGAACGUGGCAUCCAAGAUACUGAGAAGCAGACCAAACAUGCAUGACGUUCGUUGUGAGCAGCAUGAAUAUUCGAAUCGCAGCAACUUGUGAAUCCAAUAACAUCUCGAUCCUAAUUAUGUGAAGCUUUGCAAUGAAAUUAUACUGCUA